rnacentral:rRNA from 1 species
CUGGUUGAUCCUGCCAGAGGUUACUGCUAUCGAGGUUCGACUAAGCCAUGCGAGUCGAAUGUAGCAAUACAUGGCGUACUGCUCAGUAACACGUGGACAACCUGCCCUUAGGUCGGGUAUAAACCCGGGAAACUGGGUAUAAUCCCCGAUAGGUCUCGGCUGCUGGAAUGCAUCGAGAUUUAAAGCUCCGGCGCCUAAGGAUGGGUCUGCGGCCUAUCAGGUAGUAGUGGGUGUAGCGUACCUACUAGCCUACGACGGGUACGGGUUGUGAGAGCAAGAGCCCGGAGAUGGAUUCUGAGACACGAAUCCAGGCCCUACGGGGUGCAGCAGGCGCGAAAACUUUACAAUGCUGGCAACAGCGAUAAGGGAACCUCGAGUGCCAGGUUACAAAUCUGGCUGUCGAGAUGCCUAAAAAGCAUUUCAUAGCAAGGGCCGGGCAAGACCGGUGCCAGCCGCCGCGGUAACACCGGCGGCUCGAGUGGUAACCGUUAUUAUUGGGUCUAAAGGGUCUGUAGCCGGCCGGAUAAGUCUCUUGAGAAAUCUGGCAGCUUAACUGUCAGGCUUUCAGGAGAUACUGUCUGGCUCGAGGCCGGGAGAGGUGAGAGGUACUUCAGGGGUAGGGGUGAAAUCUUGUAAUCCUUGAAGGACCACCAGUGGCGAAGGCGUCUCACCAGAACGGACCUGACGGCAAGGGACGAAAGCUAGGGGCACGAACCGGAUUAGAUACCCGGGUAGUCCUAGCCGUAAACGAUACUCGCUAGGUGUCGGCCACGGUGCGACCGUUGUCGGUGCCGUAGGGAAGCCGUGAAGCGAGCCACCUGGGAAGUACGGCCGCAAGGCUGAAACUUAAAGGAAUUGGCGGGGGAGCACCAC